UGAGUAUAAUUAUUUGACUUGUGCUUUUUAGCCCUACCUACGUAACACAAUACACUACUACAAUUUAUCUUUAUUUACAGACUGCAAAAUAUGGAAAUGGAAUCUCCGAUUUCAUCAACCACUGACAUUCAAAGUAACGAUGAGGCGACCGGCUCAAACAUUUUGAACCCACGCAUUGCACAGGUGGAUGACACUUAUCGGGUUACUAGUCUAUUAGAGGAAGAAGAUACCCAUGAGUUACAAAUAUUGUUCAAUGUGGAAGAAGAGCUUCCUGACAAAACCGUCGGUCGAAGAAUUGUCGCAGUUAGUUACCAUUCGAUUCGAUUCCUCAGAUUUUAUCCAAUAAAAGAUUGUAUGGAAACUAUAUACAUAAACGCAAUAUUUCACCUGCAAUUUUCUUGUUUUGUUCAUACUUCAAGAUGGACUCUUUGUGACCUUGACGUCACGGUCACAUAUCGUUUUGUUCGGGUCGUUUCGCGAGUGAAGUACGACUGUCGGACUUUGACUAUCAUUUCUGAUUUUUAUAUUCCUUUAAUGCAAUGGAUCCCAUAUAGACUUUUGAUCCUAAAGACAAACCUGAUCGAUUGAUACCAUAAAUGAAAAUUAGUCA